rnacentral:rRNA from 1 species
CGAAAGCCUGACGGAGCAACGCCGCGUGUGGGAAGAAGGCUCUUGGGCUGUCAACCACUUUUCUCAGGGAAGAAGUCCUGACGGUACCUGAGGAAUCAGCCUCGGCUAACUCCGUGCCAGCAGCCGCGGUAAUACGGAGGAGGCAAGCGUUAUCCGGAAUGAUUGGGCGUAAAGCGUUCGUAGGUGGCGAUUCAAGUCUGCUGUCAAAGACAGUAGCUCAACUACUGAAAGGCAGUGGAAACUGAAUGGCUAGAGUGCGGUAGGGGCAGAGGGAAUUCCCGGUGUAGCGGUGAAAUGCGUAGAGAUCGGGAAGAACACCGGUGGCGAAAGCGCUCUGCUGGGCCGCAACUGACACUGAGGGACGAAAGCUAGGGGAGCG